rnacentral:tRNA from 1 species
AGUAACUUAGUUUAAUAAAAACCUUAAAUUGCAAAUUUAAUAUUAUAUUUUAGAAAUCA